rnacentral:lncRNA from 1 species
UCGCGAAGAACGAUCUAAUACAAACUGAUAAUGUGCUUCGAAUAAAACUAAAACUAUGAUUACGAUAUUAAACUCUACUCAAACUACGACUAUGAGGCUAGGGUUUUUACACACGAGAAAUAAAAAUGCAUUGACUACGUCAACCGGGCCUCGACCGCUGCGAAAAUCCAUCAGAAAAGCUGUAAAAAUCGGCCCGGGGAGUUUCUGCGGAGCGCCACCGCGCUACACUAGCGCGGGCGCGCUAGUGAUGCAGGCUGUAGCGCGGGCGCGCUACAGGUUAGCGCGGGCGCGCUACUGUCUGUGAUGACAGCCUUGAUUCUUUGUUUUUCAGCCCGUUCUCGCGUGCAUGUCCUUCCUCGUUCCUAGUACCACUUCCGUAGGUGAUCACGGUUGCAUUUAGCAUAUGCAACAAGCCCUUUAAACCCCUAGAUAGCUCUAGUGGACGAGUGUGUUCUCGUGAGGGUUUGUAGAAGAUAUACCCACAAAAUCCCAAGUCUCGGUGAAUCCACAAUUCUCUAUUCUCGCAAAGAAUGCACCAAAACCAACCUAAAAUGAUAGAAAAUCACUUCAUCACCUCAACUCGUGACCUGCACAGAAAAACAAUAAAAACACAUCAAAAGACACUACACACUUAAGUACAAUCAACCAAUUUAAGUGGAAAUGAAGGCCUAUAAGUGUGUAUAAAUACCACUU